CGUGUUUUCAAGUUGGGUGACGUUGUCCCACAGCAGCGCCACAGCCUCGGAAGUCAGAUGCGGCCGCCGCACGCAGCUCGCGAACUGGGGGCCGCCCGAGGUGUCCACAAUCUGGCAGCGGCGCAAGAGUGGGCAAGCUAUCAGACCUUCUUGAAGUGGAACCCUCCUGCUUGCAGGCAGCCCUCAGGCCGGGGGUGUCUCACCAUUUGCAGAGCUUCCAGCCCGACCCCCUUACCUGAGCGCCGCCGCCCUGCGCUCCCCGCGGCCCGAGCGAUAGUUGUGCAGAGCCCCCUGGAUGUCCUCUCGGAUCAGCUCCGCCUGUCAAUCACGCCGUCAGGCCACGACCGCAACCCACCCACUGCCCGCCCAGGCGGCUCUCCGAAUCGAUUCCUCAGCUCGGCCCCAGACCACGUCCAGUCAUAGCUCACGCACUGCGCCCACGCACGUCCACGCCCUGAACUCACACCCCGCCUCUUAAACUGUCCCUGCCUUAGGCCCCUCCCCCAACCACGAAGGCCCCGUCCAGAUGGCGCUUCGCCCCUGACCACACUCACUCCCAUCCUAGUUCUGGCUGCUCCCCCAGACCCUCACUUCCAUGUUCUGUCCACGUUCUGUCCGAGCUCUUAGCUCUUAGCCUCCGUCUCCAUUCGGCCCUCUCGUUCCUUCUCGACCCUACGUUCAAUCUGUUCUCAAAUCCCCCUCCCUCCCAGAAUUCCUUUACAGGUCACGCCCCCUCCGCUGGCCCUGACCCCGCCUUUGCCGUACACCGUGCCCCCCGUCUUAGAGGCCCCGCCCCGUUGGGGGUCCGGCUCCGGACUCCGCCCAGUUUCAGCUCCGCGCCGGGAAUCCGCAGGGUCUCAGUCUGUGGCCCCGACCCCCGCUCGCUCACCCCCAGACGCAGGCCCUGGAAGAAGUGCACGUCGGGCUGCGUGCGCUCGGGCUCCUGGCACACGAGCAGCAGCAGUGAGCAGCUCUGGCCCGGCGCUAUCACCGUGUCGCAACGCACGAUGGCGCUCAGCGCGCAGAAGGUCACCAGGUGCUGGAGAAAGCAGUGAGUCCCAGGAUGAAGCCAGGUGGGCUGAGAAGCCCCUGGAAUCAGCCUUAUAGCCUGAGACUACGCACACCUCCUCUGGGAAGCCUUCUCUGAUCACCUGCUCCACCUCCUCCCGGUGCCCUUUGUGUGUCUUCCCUGGGUCUAGCUCUCCAGCUAGACCCCUUGAAGGCAGAGAAUGGUCUGGAUUAUAUCUAGUUCCUUCUAAGCAGCUCUACCUCCGUUAGAGCACCUGGCAAUUUUGCUGGUACCUCUGGACCUUGUCUGACCCCUACUCAUCCAGGAUUGCAUCUGACUUGUCCCUGUGGUCCAACUAUCCAGCACAGGAGCUGGUCCAGAGGAAAAGUUGGCAGAUUCAAGUGCAACUGAGUUCCUCCACUGGAUACCCACAUCUGAGGCAAGGCAGAAGAAGUCCACUUUGCAGAUGAGCUAACUGAGUUUCCCAAGUUCUUGCUGCUUGGAGGUCCAACUGCUUUCAACUCCCCCAUCUCCUCAGGCCUGCCUUGCCUCCUGCAAGACUCCCCGUGGCAACACAGACCCCAGACUCACAUUGACUGGAUAUUGGGAAACGUCGGCCAUAACCUCGGUGGAGUAACGCUUCCUCUGUUCUGUGGGGGGAGGAGGAGAAUGGCUGCAGGAGACCCAGCUCCCAGCCCCUUCCCCCUCAGACUCAGGAGUCCAGCCCCCCAGCCCCCUCCCCUCCAGACCCAGGAGUCCAGACUCCCAGCCCCUCCUCCCUCAGAAAAGGAGUCCAGACCCCCAAACCCUUCCCCCAUCAGAUCCAGGAGUUCGGGUCCUCAGUUACCUCCUCCCCCAGACCUAGUUUCUCUUGGCCUGGGGCUUCCUUGCCCCUCAACUCACCAUAGAUAGACUUGGCACUCCGUUUAGGAGAAGCUUCUGGACUAGUGAAGGAAAAGAGGGGUGAGAGGGGCCAUGGGAAUUGGGGGCAGAUCAUGGGAGUUUUGAGUGCCCAGCAGAGCUUGUGAGGGCGGUGGGGAGCCAUGGAGGGUUUUGAGCAGGGGAGGGCAGGGCCAGAGCUGGACUUCAACGAGACAAGUAUGGCAGUGGUACUGGCUCGUGGUGGCGAGUGUGGUCUCUACUGUCACCCAGACCUGAGUUCAAAUCCCCUGUCAGCUACUGCUUUGUCAUAAGACCCCGGGUGGGAGACGAUCUCUCCUGCUUCAGUUUCCCUUUCCAUAAGACAGGGGUUAGUUACCCUAUAGUGUCUGUCUCGUAGGUCUGUUGGGCGAAUUCAAUGAGAUGAUGCAGUUGGAAUGUUGUGCAGCCUUAGUAACUGUUAUUAUCAUUAUUAAGAUGAUGCAAAGGGCUUAACACACAGUAGUUGCUCAAUAAAUGGGAUUUUUUUUUUC